UUCGGGGAAAGCCGGGACCUUCGGGCCUGGCGCGAUUGGAUGAGCCCACGUCGGAUUAGCUAGUUGGCGGGUAAAGGCCCACCAAGGCGACGAUCCGUAGCUGGUCUGAGAGGAUGAUCAGCCACACUGGAACUGAGACACGGUCCAGACUCCUACGGGAGGCAGCAGUAGGGAAUAUUGGACAAUGGGCGCAAGCCUGAUCCAGCCAUGCCGCGUGAGUGAAGAAGGCCCUCGGGUUGUAAAGCUCUUUUGUCCGGAAAGAAAAGCGCCGGGUUAAUACCCUGGUGUCCUGACGGUACCGGAAGAAUAAGCACCGGCUAACUUCGUG
rnacentral:rRNA from 1 species